CCUACGGGAGGCAGCAGUGGGGAAUUUUGGACAAUGGGGGCAACCCUGAUCCAGCCAUGCCGCGUGAGUGAAGAAGGCCUUCGGGUUGUAAAGCUCUUUCAGUCGAGAAGAAAAGGUUGUGACUAAUAAUUGCAACUUAUGACGGUAUCGACAGAAGAAGCACCGGCUAACUACGUGCCAGCAGCCGCGGUAAU
rnacentral:rRNA from 2 species